rnacentral:lncRNA from 1 species
GUAAUGUCCUUCUUUUUUGUCCUCCUUCCCCAAAACCGUCACCAACUGUUUAUUUAUUUUAACUUCCGCGCCUUCUUCUCCAAACGCAUGCGUCUCUCUUCUUCUACACAGCAUAGUUUUAUUUGCAGUGGAAGACGCAAAUUACAAUUUUCGUGGAUGCUGGCUGGCAAGGGCGUAUAUCAGACGGAGGGGGUCUUUCAAAGUUUUCAGCUAAAUAAACUAUUAAAAAAUAAAUUCUUUGUCAUUGCCCUCACCGAAACAGUUAUACGAUAGAAAUAACUAAGUGUCAUAUUUUUUCAUCGGGGACAGCGCUUUUUGUUUAAAUGAGAAUAUAAUG